CCUACGGGGGGCAGCAGUGAGGAAUAUUGGUCAAUGGCCGUAAGGCUGAACCAGCCAAGUCGCGUGAAGGAAGAAGGACCUAUGGGUUGUAAACUUCUUUUAUAGGGGAAUAAAGGUAGUCACGUGUGGAUUUUUGCAUGUACCCUAUGAAUAAGCAUCGGCUAACUCCGUGCCAGCAGCCGCGGUAAUACGGAGGAUGCGAGCGUUAUCCGGAUUUAUUGGGUUUAAAGGGUGCGUAGGUUGUUUUUUAAGUCAGCGGUGAAAGUUUGUGGCUCAACCUUAAAAUUGCCGUUGAAACUGGAAGACUUGAGUGUGUUUGAGGUAGGCGGAAUGCGUGGUGUAGCGGUGAAAUGCAUAGAUAUCACGCAGAACUCCGAUUGCGAAGGCAGCUUACUAAGCCAUAACUGACACUGAAGCACGAAAGCGUGGGGAUCAAACAGGAUUAGAUACCCGUGUAGUC
rnacentral:rRNA from 1 species